rnacentral:rRNA from 1 species
UACGGGGGGGGCAAGCGUUGUUCGGAAUUACUGGGCGUAAAGGGCUCGUAGGUGGCCAACUAAGUCAGACGUGAAAUCCCUCAGCUUAACUGGGGAACUGCGUCUGAUACUGGUUGGCUUGAGUGCAGGAGAGGAACGCGGAAUUCCAGGUGUAGCGGUGAAAUGCGUAGAUAUCUGGAGGAACACCGGUGGCGAAGGCGGCGUUCUGGACUGCAACUGACACUGAGAAACGAAAGCCAGGGUAGCAAACGGG